UUCGCGGACAAGGACCCUUUCUUCGAACUCCUCUUCUUACUCGACAUCUCGUGUUUUUCUUUUUAAUCAAGAAGGAAAUGAUGGAGACAAAGACAAAGAAGAAAACUUUUCAAGAAAACCUCUCUAUGAGAAUGAGUAAGUGUAAAGAUUGUGAGGAAAUUACCUCCCUUCUUAUAGGCAUGAGAAAUUACUAUUUACUUUCGGAUUUUUGGACACGAACUUCGCCCAAAUACACCAAUCUCGUCAACUCGCCAUACCGCGCAUUGGGAUCUCACUAGAAAUCCACGCUCCCAAUGAGCUGGGGGGCUAACUGUUGGGGUCGAAAACGGUUACGACGAAGUUAACGUCCAAAUCCCUGAAGAAGAAAACAAAAAACCUUCCUCGACAAACACUUUUUCGAAAUAACCAAAGGCACCUAAGACAUGACUCGAGUCCCAACUUACGAUUUCUUAACC
rnacentral:lncRNA from 1 species